GCCUGGGUGGCUCAGUGUUUGAGCACCUGCCUUCGGCUCAGGAAGUGAUCCCAGAGUCCUGGGCUCAAGUCCCACAUCAGGCU
rnacentral:tRNA from 1 species